rnacentral:lncRNA from 1 species
AGUCCGGGGAGUGGCGUUGGCUGCUAGAGCGAUGCCGGGCCGGAGUUGCGUCGCCUUAGUCCUCCUGGCUGCCGCCGUCAGCUGUGCCGUCGCGCAGCACGCGCCGCCGUGGACAGAGGACUGCAGAAAAUCAACCUAUCCUCCUUCAGGACCAACCCUGGCCUACUUGGCAACUUUCCUGGCCCUUUUGAAGAGGAAAUGAAGGGUAUUGCCGCUGUUACUGAUAUACCUUUAGGAGAGAUUAUUUCAUUCAAUAUUUUUUAUGAAUUAUUUACCAUUUGUACUUCAAUAGUAGCAGAAGACAAAAAAGGUCAUCUAAUACAUGGGAGAAACAUGGAUUUUGGAGUAUUUCUUGGGUGGAACAUAAAUAAUGAUACCUGGGUCAUAACUGAGCAACUAAAACCUUUAACAGUGAAUUUGGAUUUCCAAAGAAACAACAAAACUGUCUUCAAGGCUUCAAGCUUUGCUGGCUAUGUGGGCAUGUUAACAGGAUUCAAACCAGGACUGUUCAGUCUUACACUGAAUGAACGUUUCAGUAUAAAUGGUGGUUAUCUGGGUA